GACAGAGGUGCCGAGCGUUAGGCGGAAUCACUGGGCUUAAAGCGUGUGUAGGCGGGUCGUUAAGUGUCUUGUGAAAUCCCACCGCUCAACGGUGGAACUGCUGGGCAUACUGGCGAUCUUGAGCCACCUAGGGGCGAGCGGAACAAGCGGUGGAGCGGUGAAAUGCGUAGAUAUCGCUUGGAACGCCGACGGUGAAAACAGCUCGCUGGGGGUGUGCUGACGCUGAGACACGAAAGCCAGGUGAGCGAACGGG
rnacentral:rRNA from 1 species